CUUCCCUUACCAACAUGGCUGGUUCCCCACUUCCUGUCAAGAUGGAGGACCAUACCACCACACCCAACUCAGGACACUCCCAACCACAGGCCUCCAGUCCCGAUACACCAGAGCAUGAGAGAAGAUCAGCAGACCAGGUUUUUGAAGCCUCAGAUUAACUAUGGCGAUCGGGUGUCUGCUUCGGUCCUUCGCGCUCUGCUUUUCCAGCUGCAAACAAGAAGCCCAGGAAGUUGUACAAGCGAUCAU